GACGAACGCUGGCGGCGUGCUUAACACAUGCAAGUCGAGCGGUAAGGCUCCUUCGGGAGUACACGAGCGGCGAACGGGUGAGUAACACGUGAGUAAUCUGCCCUUCACUUCGGGAUAACCACCGGAAACGGUGGCUAAUACCGAAUACGACCAGUCUUCGCAUGAGGUGCUGGUGGAAAGUCUUUUCGGUGAAGGAUGUGCUCGCGGCCUAUCAGCUUGUUGGUGGGGUAAUGGCCUACCAAGGCUUCGACGGGUAGCCGGCCUGAGAGGGUGACCGGCCACACUGGGACUGAGACACGGCCCAGACUCCUACGGGAGGCAGCAGUGGGGAAUAUUGGACAAUGGGCGAAAGCCUGAUCCAGCAACGCCGCGUGAGGGAUGACGGCCUUCGGGUUGUAAACCUCUUUCAGUACCGACGAAGAGCCCUGUCGGGUGGUGACGGUAGGUACAGAAGAAGGACCGGCCAACUACGUG
rnacentral:rRNA from 1 species